CCUAUCUGGUUGAUCCUGCCAGUAGUCAUAUGCUUGUUCCAAAGACUAAGCCAUGCAUGUCUAAGUCCAUGCUGUGCGUUGUGGGAGUAAAAUCUCGCAGCCGCGGCGAAACCGCGGACGGCUCAUUAAAUCAGUCGUGGUCCAAAUGGGCUAGUGUUAUCCUACUUGGUUAACUGUGGUAAUUCCAGAGCUAAUACAUGCGACUGAAGCCCGAUCAAGAGGCACUUCGAGUGUCUUUUGUGACGACUGCUUUUAUUAGACCAAACCGCUGAGGGUAGUGCUUCCUGCGCUCCCGUAGACUCGUGUUAUGGUGACUCUGAAUAACACACCACUUGACAAGCGCACGUAUCCAUUGGUUUGGGACGGCGCUGCCACUUUCGAGUGUCUGCCUUAUCAGCUAUGAAUCGUUCGUUAUGUGCGACCGAUGGCUUUGACGGGUAACGGGGAAUCAGGGUUCGAUUCCGGAGAGGCAGCCUGAGAAACGGCUACCACGUCCAAGGACGGCAGCAGGCACGCAAAUUACCCAAUCCCAGCAACUGGGGGAGGUAGUGACGAAAUCUAACGAUGCGGGCGCCCCUUCUGGGGCCCCGCAAUCGGAAUGAGCGCUUUCUUUCUAAACACCCUGUUGAGAACCUACUGAAGGGCAAGUCUGGUGCCAGCAGCCGCGGUAAUUCCAGCUUCAGUAGCAUCUACUAAAGUUGCUGCGGUUAAAAGGCUCGCAGUUGAAUGUCAGUAUCAAGCGUAGCGAUGGUGGACGUUGGAGUUUGCUUGGAUCGUGGUGUGUGUGUUUGUGGUGCUUCCCUGUCAUGGGGGUGCUGCUGCACUGUGCUGCGCUCUCCUCGCAUGUCUAUAGCUCCCGUCCGACUCAAGCCUCCUCGCUUGCGUACAAAGGGGAAAUUCGUUUGGCUUUGCUGGUGUGCUUGCGGUGCUAGUGGGGGAGCGUUUGCGAAGCGGUGCCUUCUGGUGCAGGAGCGCACGCGCGCCUUCGCUGCCCGUGUGUGCCCUGUGGGGCUGGUUUUCAAAGUCACCUUGAGUAAAUCAGAGUGCUCAAAGCAGUCGUAAGGAGGUGUGUGCGGUUAACGCUGUGCGCCCUCUGUGAUGAAUGUCGUCAUGACAGACAGUCUUGGUUUUGCAUGGUAUGUCGGAAGACGCCGUUUUCUUAUCCUGUUGGUAACGAGUCUGGUGCGGGCUUGGCGUUUUCUGUGUCUCGCUCCCUGCAUUCUUUUGGGUGUAGGUGUGGUGCGUCCGGAAGGCGUCGACAUUCAUGAGACCAACCGGUGCGGAAUGAUAAAGAGGCACGGUCGAGGGUAUUGGUAUUGCGGGGCGAGAGGUGAAAUUCUAUGACCCCCGCAAGACCUCCUGAAGCGAAAGCAUCUGCCAAGGACGUUUUCAUUAAUCAUGAACGAAAGUUAGAGGAUCGAAGGCGAUCAGAUACCGCCCUAGUUCUAACCCUAAACGAUGCCAACCAUGCAAUGCCGUGCGUAGCACCCUUUCUAACGGGCUCGGCGGGCAGCUCCCCACUCACGGGAAACCAGAGUCUCUGGGUUCCGGGGGGAGUCUGGUUGCAAAGCUGAAACUUAAAGGAAUUGACGGAAAGGCACCACCAGGCGGCUUAAUUUGACUCAACACGGGCCAUCUCACCAGGCCAGCACUCUAGUACGAUUGACAGAUUGAGAGUUCUUUCUCGAUUCAGUGGAUGGUGGUGCAUGGCCGUUCUUAGUUGGUGGAGUGAUCUGUCUGGUUAAUUCCGAUAACGAACGAGACUCUCCCCUGCUAACUAGUCGGUUGGAUCUUGCGUCUGGAGAGUUGCCUAUGCCGAGGCGAGUACCUCCUCCUUCUCUCUCGCUUGCGUGCGUGUCUGUGCUUCCUGUGCAGCUCGUGUGUUGGCGUUUGGGUUGUUGGUGGGGGCUGCGAGUCGAGGUUGAAGCACUCCAAGUCCGCCGCUUACCCUGCUGCGCUCGGGGUUGCGCGAUUUUGUGCGGGUGCUCAGGUGCUCGUGCGGUCGUAUGCGCCUCGCUGUGUGGUGAGUAAAACUCUUCUUAGAGGGAUUCACGGUUCUGAAGCCGUAAGAAACUGAGAGCAAUAACAGGUCUGUGAUGCCCUUAGAUGUUCUGGGCCGCACGCGCGCUACAAUGCCGGGCUCAGCAAGUGUUCUUCCUUCUCCGAGAGGAGUGGGUAACCCUCUGAAAGCCCUUCAAACAUUUCUAUCAAAAAGGGAGUGCAUUGGUUUCUGCUUGAUCGCCUUGUGUGUGAGGGCGUUUGCUUGUGCUCUCCCUCCUUGGCUUGCUUGGGCCUGGGGCUUGCAAUUCUUUCCCACAAACGAGGAAUGCCUAGUAGCGGCGGAUCACUGAGUUCGCUGUGACUCAGUCCCUGCCCUUUGUACACACCGCCCGUCGCUACUACCGAUUGGGUGUACCAGUGAGAUCCUUGGAUUGGCGAGCCUUGUGCACUAGCAAUAGAGCAGAAGUGUGAACGACGUAAAGAGGCUCGAACUGGUGCACUUAGAGGAAGUAAAAGUCGUAACAAGGUUUCCGUAGGUGAACUGCGGAAGGAUCAUUA
rnacentral:rRNA from 1 species